AGUGAACGCUGGCGGUAGGCCUAACACAUGCAAGUCGAACGGCAGCACAGUAAGAUCUUGCUCUUAAGGGUGGCGAGUGGCGGACGGGUGAGGAAUACAUCGCAAUCUACUUUUUCGGGGGGGAUAACGUAGGGAAACUUACGCUAAUACCGCAUACGACCUACGGGUGAAAGCAGUGGAUCUUCGCACCUUGCGCGAUUGAAUGAGCCGGUGCCGGAUUAGCUAGUUGGCUUGGUAAAGGCCCACCAAGGCGACGAUCCGUAGCUGGUCUGAGAGGAUGAUCAGCCACACUGGAACUGAGACACGGUCCAGACUCCUACGGGAGGCAGCUGUGGGGAAUAUUGGACAAUGGGCGCAAGCCUGAUCCAGCCAUACCGCGUGAGUGAAGAAGGCCUUCGGGUUGUAAAGCCCUUUUGUUGGGAAAGAAAAACAGCAGGUUAAUACCCCGCUGUUCUGACGGUACCUAAUGAAUAAGCACCGGCUAACUUCGUG
rnacentral:rRNA from 1 species